GACGAAGGGGGCUAGCGUUGUUCGGAAUUACUGGGCGUAAAGCGCGUGUAGGCGGUUGUUCAAGUCAGGUGUGAAAGCCUUGAGCUCAACUCAAGAAAUGCACUUGAUACUGGAUGACUAGAGGACCGGAGAGGAUAGUGGAAUUCCCAGUGUAGUGGUGAAAUACGUAGAGAUUGGGAAGAACACCAGUGGCGAAGGCGGCUAUCUGGACGGUUUCUGACGCUAAGACGCGAAAGCUGGGGGAGCAAACGGG
rnacentral:rRNA from 1 species